rnacentral:rRNA from 1 species
GACGAACCGUGCAAACGUUAUUCGGAAUCACUGGGCAUAAAGGGCGCGUGGGCGGCUCCAAAAGUCAGGGGUGAAAUCCGGCAGCUUAACUGUCGCAGUGCCUUUGAUACUGUGGAGCUAGAGGGAGGUAGGGGUCUGUGGAACUUCCGGUGGAGCGGUGAAAUGCGUUGAUAUCGGGAGGAACACCGGUGGCGAAGGCGGGUCUCUGGGCAUCUCCUGACGCUGAGGCGCGAAAGCGUGGGGAGCAAACGGG